GUCAGACAGACAGAGAGAGGUCAGAGUCAGACAGACAGAGAGAGGUCAGAGUCAGACAGACAGAGAGAGGUCAGAGUCAGACAGACAGAGAGAGGUCAGAGUCAGACAGACAGAGAGAGGUCAGAGUCAGGCAGCCAGAGAGAGGUCAGAGUCAGGCAGCCAGAGAGAGGUCAGAGUCAGACAGCCAGAGAGAGGUCAGAGUCAGGCAGCCAGAGAGAGGUCAGAGUCAGGCAGCCAGAGAGAGGUCAGAGUCAGGCAGCCAGAGAGAGGUCAGAGUCAGACAGACAGAGAGAGGUCAGAGUCAGACAGACAGAGAGAGGUCAGAGUCAGACAGACAGAGAGAGGUCAGAGUCAGACAGACAGAGAGAGGUCAGAGUCAGACAGACAGAGAGAGGUCAGAGUCAGACAGACAGAGGUCAGAGUCAGACAGCCAGAGAGAGGUCAGAGUCAGACAGACAGAGAGAGGUCAGAGUCAGACAGCCAGAGAGAGGUCAGAGUCAGGCAGCCAGAGAGAGGUCAGAGUCAGGCAGCCAGAGAGAGGUCAGAGUCAGGCAGCCAGAGAGAGGUCAGAGUCAGGCAGCCAGAGAGAGGUCAGAGUCAGGCAGCCAGAGAGAGGUCAGAGUCAGGCAGCCAGAGAGAGGUCAGAGUCAGGCAGCCAGAGAGAGGUCAGAGUCAGGCAGCCAGAGAGAGGUCAGAGUCAGACAGCGAGUCAGGCAGCCAUGCAUGCAGGGCAGAAUUAGACCAAUAUCCAUUAAUAAAAACUUUUAAAAACAAUUCAGUUUUAGAAACAUACAGUGACAUAUCAUUACCGAGCCCUGCAAUACCAGGAGCUGACCAAAGAAGAGAGUCCCCUCAUCCAGCUGGUCCUGAGUUCACCUACCUGUUCUACUAACACACUGAUGCCUCAGUCCCCUCAUCCAGCUGGUCCUGAGUUCACCUA